rnacentral:lncRNA from 7 species
CGGCCUGCCCUGCAAGUGAUCCGCAUGUGCCCGCGCGAAAAAGGCUCCGGCUACAUCUACAUCCGCGCGUAGUGGAGGCCGCUUUGCCUCACCACCACCACCACUAACACCCAACAGGCAGGCAGGCAGGGCCGCGGCGUCGUUCCCACCCCUGGCCGUCGGCACGCUAGUCCGAUGCUCGGGGAGUCGGAGAGCAGGUCCGUCCGUCCGUCCGUCGCGCAUGUCACCGCGCACUACUACGUUCACCUGCGCCUGCUGCUGACCUGACCCAUCCUCACCGGUUUCGGCAGCUACCGGCGUUCCUGGAAACGGCAAAAAAAAAAACCCAGCGGCGCGUGCCGGGCCGCCGCUUUCGGAGCGCAACAUUGGAGCGCGCGGCGACGUGCGUGUUGCGCGAAUCUAAAGAACGGCCGCGAGGAGGUCUCGCUCUCGCCGCCGGUAAGGGCGGCGCUAGGUCAGUGGAGCAGCACAUGCGGGCUAUGGCCGGCUGACAGGUGGCCGGAGGGGGAAACCGAAAGUGUCUGUACCGGUGUACCCGCGCCCCAAGUGCGCGGCCCGCGGAACGCCACCUGUCCCUCUCCUAUCCCUUUCCCUUGCUGGGCGCCGCGACGCUUUUGCUGCAUGCCGGAUCUGUUUCGUGGUGGCUGGUGGGUUCUGACGGCUGAGGUAUACACGUUACCACGUAGUACUAGUACGUACGUGCCAUCAUUUGUUAGAUCUUGCUCGCGGGCACGUACGGCGGGCAUGCUGCCAU